GACGAACGCUGGCGGCGUGCUUAACACAUGCAAGUCGAACGAAGUGGCGAACGGGUGAGUAACGCGUAAUAAACCUGCCCUUCAGAGGGGGACAACAGUUGGAAACGACUGCUAAUACCGCAUACUGUAGGAGGGGAUUGCGUCUGAUUUGCUAGUUGGAGGGGUAACGGCCCACCAAGGCGAUGAGCAGUAGCCGGUCUGAGGAGAUGAACGGCCACAUUGGGACUGGGACACGGCCCAGACUCCUACGGGGGGCAGCAGGGGGGAAUCUUCCGCAAUGGACGAAAGUCUGACGGAGCAACGGCGCGUGAGUGAUGACGGCCUUCGGGUUGUAAAGCGCUGUUAAUCGGGACGCGGUACCGGAAUAGAAAGCCACGGCUAACUACGUGCCAGCAGCCGCGGUAAUAC
rnacentral:rRNA from 1 species